GUGUUCUGGCUUUAGCACCACAUACACUAAAAUUGGAACCGUACAGAGAAGAUUNGCAUGGCCCUUACACAAGAAUGUGAUGCAUUCUGUACUAAAUAAAUAAAUAAUA
rnacentral:snRNA from 1 species